UACGUAGGGUGCGAGCGUUAAUCGGAAUUACUGGGCGUAAAGCGUGCGCAGGCGGUUUGCUAAGACAGGUGUGAAAUCCCCGGGCUUAACCUGGGAACUGCGCUUGUGACUGGCAGGCUAGAGUACGGUAGAGGGGGUGGAAUUCCUGGUGUAGCAGUGAAAUGCGUAGAUAUCAGGAGGAACACCGAUGGCGAAGGCAGCCCCCUGGGCUGUAACUGACGCUGAGGCUCGAAAGCGUGGGGAGCAAACAGGAUUAGAUACCCUGGUA
rnacentral:rRNA from 1 species